rnacentral:rRNA from 1 species
GAUGAACGCUGGCGGCGUGCCUAAUACAUGCAAGUAGAACGCUGAAGGCGGAGCUUGCUCUUCUGGAUGAGUUGCGAACGGGUGAGUAACGCGUAGGUAACCUGCCUGGUAGCGGGGGAUAACUAUUGGAAACGAUAGCUAAUACCGCAUGACAACAGUUAUUGCAUGAUAACUGUUUAAAAGGUGCAACUGCUCCACUACCAGAUGGACCUGCGUUGUAUUAGCUAGUUGGUGAGGUAACGGCUCACCAAGGCGACGAUACAUAGCCGACCUGAGAGGGGGAGCGGCCAAGCUGGGACUGAGACACGGCCCAGACUCCUACGGGAGGCAGCAGGAGGGAAUCUUCGGCAAUGGACGGAAGUCUGACCGAGCAACGCCGCGUGAGUGAAGAAGGUUUUCGGAUCGUAAAGCUCUGUUGUAAGAGAAGAACGAGUGUGAGAGUGGAAAGUUCACACUGUGACGGUAUCUUACCAGAAAGGGACGGCUAACUACGUG